UUCAGUUAACCUUCCAUGUACAAUGAGUUCCACGACUAACUACAUAAUUUUACAAAUGACAUAUUUCAUUUGAAAUUAUUAACCAAAUUGUAUUCUUGAUCACGUUCGUCUGUAGAGUAAUACUUUGCCUCGAUUAGUCACACUAUUUCCAACAUCAGUUUUUGACUAUAUAAACCCCAACCGGACAAACCAACAGCAUUCAGUACUCAAUCAGUCGAAUAAAAAAAUGAAACUCCUAUCUUUUGGACUUGUGGCUUUGGCCUUCGUUUUGGGUUAUGCCAAUGCUGAACCAUGCAAUUUGGGCGGUGGUGGCGGAAGUGGUAAUGGCAAAUAGGUCAUCAUUUGUAUCCCCCAAAAAAUUGAUAAAUGAUUUCAUGGUGUCACUGUUGAUAUUAAAUGUUUAACUUCAAAACGAUUAAAACAAAUAAAAAAUUUUUGAUGAA